UACAGAGGGUGCAAGCGUUAAUCGGACUGACUGGGCGUAAAGGGCGUGUAGGUGGACUAUUAAGUUAGAUGUGAAAUCCCCGGGCUUAACCUGGGCAGGUCAUCUAAAACUGGUAGUCUAGAGUACGGUAGAGGGAAGUGGAAUUUCCGGUGUAGCGGUGAAAUGCGUAGAGAUCGGAAAGAACAUCGAUGGCGAAGGCA
rnacentral:rRNA from 1 species